rnacentral:rRNA from 1 species
CGGGGUAGAGUAACGCGUGAGGAACCUGCCUCAAAGAGGGGGACAACAGUUGGAAACGACUGCUAAUACCGCAUAAGCCCACGGCUCGGCAUCGAGCAGAGGGAAAAGGAGCAAUCCGCUUUGAGAUGGCCUCGCGUCCGAUUAGCUAGUUGGUGAGGUAAUGGCCCACCAAGGCGACGAUCGGUAGCCGGACUGAGAGGUUGAACGGCCACAUUGGGACUGAGACACGGCCCAG